ACGGAGGGUGCAAACGUUGUUCGGAAUUAUUGGGCGUAAAGCGCGCGUAGGCGGCCCAGAAGGUCGGAUGUGAAAUCCCCGGGCUCAACCUGGGAAUUGCGUUCGAAACCGUUGGGCUUGAGUUCUGGAGGGAGAGGUAGAAUUCCUGGUGUAGGGGUGAAAUCCGUAGAGAUCAGGAGGAAUACCGGUGGCGAAGGCGACCUCUUGGCCAUGGACUGACGCUGAGGUGCGAAAGCGUGGGUAGCAAACAGG
rnacentral:rRNA from 1 species